rnacentral:lncRNA from 1 species
UAUAUUACAAGUAUAGUCACAAUGUAUUACAAGUGAUCUCCCCCCUUUUACACUUCACCCCUAGGGGUAUUUAUACAACUUCCUAACAUGAAUCGACCUGAUGGAUCCGAUACACUUGGGACGCCUUCUUUGGGAUGUCAACUGCUCGAGUUAAUGGGUCCUUUCAGCCGGUCGGCCAAAUGUUCGUAGGGCUUAUGGGGCCGCCCGGACCAUUCGAACAGGUUAACGUCCUCGGAAUGACCUGGGCUUUCCACUGUUCGUCUUGCUGGGCCUAGGCUUCUUCGUGGGCCUGGGCUGGUAACUUGGGGGUACCAUCAAG